rnacentral:lncRNA from 1 species
AUAUAUUAAAAAGGAAACAAUACAAAAAGGCCAUUUAAACCCAGCCAUCAGGCCCCAAUAUACCUUACCUAUAGUCUUUCCAAAUUAAAAAGAAUCCCAAUAGAGUCUGGAGGCUCAAACCGAACUUGAAGAUGAGCAUAAGAUGUAGCUGUUCCUGUAAGGCUAUGAGCAACAAUAUUAACUUGCUUCCUUAACUAAGAUAAGGUUCAUUUAGACCUCUGCGCUAAAAGUAAUUAACAAUUUAUAACAACACUAACAUAUUAACUUGUCAAUUAGUCAAAAGGGAAGAACCCUCCUGAAGCAACCUUACUUUGCUACACAAGCAAAUUCCUAUGAUGUCAUAUACUCCACAUUGUAACGUCCACUUUGUCCACAAAUAUGUCUAAAAAACCUCUACAAAAAAGAAAAGAAAACCAAAUUCAUCCUCAAAUUAAAAAGAUUUCAACACUCUACGAAAACAGAACAAUGCAAAAAAAAAAAUGUGACUCAUCCUCAACCAUGCUACAUCUAGGAUAGUCCUUUCUUAAAUUAGCAGAACUAUUAGCCAAGUUUACUCGAAAUGGCAAAAACCCUCUUGAAGCUCUCCAACGGAAGUUCUUAACUUUAGGGGAGAGAUAAAGCUUCCAAAUAUCUCCCCCUCUCCUAGGACCACAAAUUGAGAUAACCCUUUAUCAUUCCUAAAGCAACAUGAUAUUUAGAUUUGACAUAAUAUUUUUCAUCCUUAGUGAAUUACUAGAUUCUCCUAUUCAUACAACCAGUCACACUAAGAGAAAUACAAAAAAUACUAUGCAUAUCUUCCAAAACAAAAAGCUCAGAAAGCAGUUGCUCAUUCCGAUCACUACCCCCUCAUCAAUUAAGCCUAAAACUUAAAACUUGAAACUCCUACAUACUAUCAAUUAAACGGGUUUGAAUGAAAAAUUCGCUCUCAUUAGAAAGCCAUGGGUCACCCCAAAUGUUUAUCAAAGAGUAAUUUCUUAUUCUCCAUCUAAUAUCAGCAUUUAACAAAUCGUUGGACUGUAAGAGACUUCUCUAAAUGAAACUAGAAUUAGAACCCAUUAGGAUUAGAGAGUGAGUAGUAUUCGAUUCAAAUCGAAAAAAUCGAUCGAUCCGAAUUAAAUCAGAAAUUCGAUUCGAUUCAAUUUUUAUUUUCUAAAAUUUUGAUUAUUUCAGUCCAAUUCGG